ACCUGCAGCAUGUGAAAAUUGCCUUGUUAUGCCUAAUACGGGGGGAGGGGGGAGAAGAGAGAGGAAGGCACAGAAAAAAACGGGUAACUCAGGAACGAUAUCAAAAGAGAUUUAUUUAUUUAUUUAUUUGACUUUGUAGACACCCAGUACGCUGGGGUAUCCGGCUGCUUGAGUCUCUGGGUUGCAACUACAAAGACCGACCGAAGCAGGGACGACCAGGGCCCAUUCGCACUAACGGGGAGGCUGACAGCUGGAUCCGUGGAGCAGUGAUCAACGAGACCACAGAGCGCGGCUGAGUGAGCCGAUUGUUUCCUGCUUUCGCCCUGCCCCCUCCCUUUUCCGAACAUCUGCUGUAGUUGUUGUUUGCUACACCCUUUACUGGUUUGGACUAUUUGAAUGGAUGGACUUUACAGACUGAGCCCUGGAAAGAGACUACCUAUCAUUUGGACUCCUGUUUACAUAUACUGUCUCUUUUGUGUGUUCUGUAUUUUUCCAUUUAAUGUAUUAUGGGAUAAUGCUAAUUGAUUGUUUAAUUUUUUUUUAAAACCUGAUUUUAACUGUUGGGAUAAUAAAUGUUUUAUAAUUGAUGGUAACUGGUGGA